rnacentral:rRNA from 1 species
AAGUUUCUUGGAACAGGACGUCAUAGAGGGUGAGAAUCCCGUAUGUGACCGGUGACCCAGCCCGUGUGAAGCUCCUUCAACGAGUCGAGUUGUUUGGGAAUGCAGCUCUAAAUGGGUGGUAAAUUUCAUCUAAAGCUAAAUACUGGCCAGAGACCGAUAGCGCACAAGUAGAGUGAUCGAAAGAUGAAAAGCACUUUGGAAAGAGAGUUAAAAAGUACGUGAAAUUGUUGAAAGGGAAGCGCUUGCAACCAGACUUGCUUGCAGGUGAUCAGCCGUCCUUCUGGGCGGUGCACUCACCCGCGAUCAGGCCAGCAUCGGUCUGGGCGGUCAGAUAAAGGCCCCGGGAAUGUGCCUCCCCCCGGGGAGUGUUAUAGCCCGGGGUGCAAUGCGGCCAGCCCGGACCGAGGACCGCGCUUCGGCUAGGAUGCUGGCGUAAUGGUCGUAAGCGACCCGUCUUGAAACACGGACCAAGGAGUCUAACAUCUAUGCGAGUGUUUGGGUGUCAAACCCAGGCGCGGAAUGAAAGUGAACGGAGGUGGGAACCCUCCAGGGUGCACCAUCGACCGAUCCUGAUGUCGUCGGAUGGAUUUGAGUAAGAGCAUAGCUGUUGGGACCCGAAAGAUGAUAUCAAUAAGCGGAGGAAAAGAAACCAACCGGGAUUGCCUCAGUAACGGCGAGUGAAGCGGCAACAGCUCAAAUUUGAAAUCUGGCCGUUCCGCGGCCCGAGUUGUAAUUUGGAGAGGAUGCUUCGGGCGCGGCGCCGGUCUAAGUUCCUUGGAACAGGACGUCAUAGAGGGUGAGAAUCCCGUACGUGACCGGCGGCCCGGCCUGUGUGAAGCUCCUUCGACGAGUCGAGUUGUUUGGGAAUGCAGCUCUAAAUGGGUGGUAAAUUUCAUCUAAAGCUAAAUACCGGCCAGAGACCGAUAGCGCACAAGUAGAGUGAUCGAAAGAUGAAAAGCACUUUGGAAAGAGAGUUAAAAAGUACGUGAAAUUGUUGAAAGGGAAGCGCUUGCCACCAGACUUGCUCGCGGGUGAUCAGCCGUCCUUCUGGGCGGUGCACUCGCCCGCGAUCAGGCCAGCAUCGGUCCGGGCGGCCGGAUAAAGGCCCCGGGAAUGUGUCUCCCCCCGGGGAGUGUUAUAGCCCGGGGUGCAAUGCGGCCAGCCUGGACCGAGGACCGCGCUUCGGCGGAUGCUGGCGUAAUGGUUGCAAGCGACCCGUCUUGAAACACGGACCAAGGAGUCUAACAUCUAUGCGAGUGUUUGGGCGUCAAACCCACGCGCGUAAUGAAAGUGAACGGAGGUGGGAACCCUCCAGGGUGCACCAUCGACCGAUCCUGAUGUCUUCGGAUGGAUUUGAGUAAGAGCAUAGCUGUUGGGACCCGAAAGAUGGUGAACUAUGCCUGAAUAGGGUGAAGCCAGAGGAAACUCUGGUGGAGGCUCGCAGCGGUUCUGACGUGCAAAUCGAUCGUCAAAUUUGGGUAUAGGGGCGAAAGACUAAUCGAACCAUCUAGUAGCUGGUUCCUGCCGAAGUUUCCCUCAGGAUAGCAGUAACGUUUUCAGUUUUAUGAGGUAAAGCGAAUGAUUAGAGGCCUUGGGGUUGAAACAACCUUAACCUAUUCUCAAACUUUAAAUAUGUAAGAAGUCCUUGUUACUUAGUUGAACGUGGACAUUUGAAUGCACCGUUACUAGUGGGCCAUUUUUGGUAAGCAGAACUGGCGAUGUGGGAUGAACCGAACGCGAGGUUAAGGUGCCGGAAUGCACGCUCAUCAGACACCACAAAAGGUGUUAGUCCAUCUAGACAGCCGGACGGUGGCCAUGGAAGUCGGAAUCCGCUAAGGAGUGUGUAACAACUCACCGGCCGAAUGAACUAGCCCUGAAAAUGGAUGGCGCUCAAGCGUGCUACCCAUACCUCGCCGCCGGGGUAGAAACGAUGCCCCGGCGAGUAGGCAGGCGUGGGGGUCAGUGACGAAGCCUUGGGAGUGAUCCCGGGUCGAACGG